GGAUGAAGAACACAGCAGCCUGCCUCCACAGCUUUGGAAUCGAUGUGCAAAUAAUUUCCUUGGGAGGAACUCUUUAUAUACAAGAGGAUUCACUCCAAAUUGUACACCACACUCAGGCAUGGGACUAAGAACGAUCUACAAUCAGAAAGUGAUUCAAAAGACUCUCAGCUAAGUGCUACAUAAUGAGCAACUCGUACUCCUCAACCAAACGAUAAUGAAAGAGAGGCACCUGACUCAAGCAAUGGAUGUCGGAGCAGAAGACUAGAAGGCAAAGCAAGUACAUGCUACCUGUCUGGGCAAGACCUUUCAGUGCCUUUCCAUAUUUCAAUGGGUAGUCAUCUGCACACCUUCCAGUCUUUUCUUCUGUAUUGCAAAGGCUAGAAGCCUUGGUACUAUAUUUAUCAAACUUACUUUUUUUUUUUUUAACAAAUCUUCAAUGUGAUUCUCAUUUUGCUAAGAUACAUUUGUAUGAAAUUUUGAGAUAGAAAAGUAUGAAUAAGAAAGCAUUGCCUUCUUUCUCAGUGGCAGCACACAAACAUAUGGACUUCACAGACACGACAUUUUGCAGCAACUUCUAGAUCUUCCCCCUGUGAGUGCCCUGGGACAUCAUUACAAUAAAUAAACCAUUCAGGAAGUCAAAGGAUGGUAGUUUUCACAGAAGCAUUGCAAGCAUUGAGAAGAAAAAUAAUCCAUAUCUAGUAGGUUUAUUUUUAUGAGGAUAAAUCUCUGGCCUCUCCAUAUGGAAAAGGAUCUCCUGUAAGUUAAUCCUGCCAUCAGGUUGCUGGCUGGUUUGCCUGGGAUAUAAAGCCCUAUUAGUGAGCCAGUGGUGACCUUUGCUGCUGUCUGGUUAGAUGCGCAGCAGCACUGCAGUCACCCUUUCUGAGGGAAAGUUCACGUUUUGAAGCCUAGGUAGAAAUUCUCUCUGUACCACCAUGGUUUCACUGAAUGUGAGUCAAUUGAGGCAUCACCAGGGUGGCAAAAAGUUAUCAAGUCAAGCCCAGUCAACUCAGAAAAUUCAUCUCAGAAUUCCAUUUUACGUCAAUUUCCUGGCAUAAUGUUGAAACACUCUGCCCUUUAGUAUCUGGAACAAUGUCUAACACAAUAAUGCUUAACGCCGGGGAAAUGAGGGCAUAGGUCUGAAUCUCCGGAGAUUCCUUUUAUGGGGAAUAUCUUUUAACACCCCUUAGGAAACAACAUCAACUCACUAAAGACAGUACCAAUAAGGUCUCCUGCCUUCCCCAGGAAUAAAGAUUUAAAUCACACCAGCUCAAUGCUGGUUGAGGGCAAGGGAACAAUGAAUGGCUUGUGGAAGGGGAAAGUUAAAAAUGCAAAUUACAACUUUGUGCCCCAUUUAAGGAAAGAGAACUUGAAUAGCUAUGCAUAUUUGUGUUUUCUUCCUUGCUUUGUUAUGUACAUAUUUGUAUAUAUCAGCCACUAACUUCUUAUCUUUCCUUCAUUCUUCACUUACUAAUUUACAUAAGGUACUGGUAGUUCAUAUAAAUUCAUUUUUAGAGACUAAAUAUAAAAGCAGAAUUGCAACUGAACUUAAGCAAGAAUCAUUAUCACCCAGGGCUAGAUUUGGUGACUAAUAGAAGUUUGGAUCUCUAUUUUUAGAGGAGGGAUUGAGAAAAUUUUUGUAUGGGGAAUAAUUCUAUUCUAUUAGCAAGAAUCGUGUUGUUUUUUGCCAUUGCUGCUAAUUAAAAUUUUAAAUAUUGUCAAAAGUGGUAUAUAUUAUGCUCGAUUUUUUCCUUUUGGCACCCAGUAUAUGUUCCCAAACUCUCCUGUGCUCUUUUUGCUAUCAUGUGAGCUAAAAGCCUGGUAAGUAGAUUUUUCAGACUCCUUUGUAUUCAGUGUUCAGUGUAUGAUGCAUGUUUUGACUAAUGGGUAACUGCAUCUUUAAUCCAUAUUGUUAUUUAACAUACAUUGUAAUUUCCAUACUUGUUUUCAAUCUCCCACACUAGAAUGGCAAUUGUGAAAGCACGGAGGUUUUUUUUCUUUUUAUUUUUUGAGAUGGAGUCUUGCUCUGCUGCCCAGGCUGGAGUGCAGUGGCGUGAUCUCGGCUCACUGCCAGCUCCACCUCCCAGGUUCAAGUGAUUCUCCUGCCUCAGCCUCCCGAGUAGACGGUACUACAGGCGAGCGACACCAUGCCUGGCUAAUUUUUGUAUUUUUACUAAAGACGGGGUUUUACUAUGUUGGUCGGGCUGGUCUCAAACUCCUGACCUCGUGAUCCGCCCACUUCGGCCUCCCAAAGUGCUAGGAUUAUAGGCGUGAGACACCGUGCCUGGCCACAGAGGUUCUUUCUAUCUGGUGCUCAAUAAUAUUUCCUGCAUGAAUGAUUAAUAAGUGAAUUAAUAUUAAAACAAAAAAAUAAGAAAAGUCAAUGACUUUAUAGGAUUUGCACAUUGAAAUAUUUUAAAUUGAACUAGGGUAACUUCAACAUGCUAACACAUGUUGAGACAUGGACAUGGUAAAUUUUUCAGAUCCAUAAUUUUAUAAUAAUUUUCAAAUUACAUGAAAGCUUUGCAGC
rnacentral:lncRNA from 1 species